rnacentral:rRNA from 1 species
CCUACGGGAGGCAGCAGUGAGGAAUAUUGGUCAAUGGACGAGAGUCUGAACCAGCCAAGUAGCGUGAAGGAUGACUGCCCUAUGGGUUGUAAACUUCUUUUAUAUGGGAAUAAAAUGUUCCACGUGUGGGAUUUUGUAUGUACCAUAUGAAUAAGGAUCGGCUAACUCCGUGCCAGCAGCCGCGGUAAUACGGAGGAUCCGAGCGUUAUCCGAAUUUAUUGGGUUUAAAGGGAGCUUAGGUGGAUUGUUAAGUCAGUUGUGAAAGUUUGCGGCUCAACCGUAAAAUUGCAGUUGAAACUGGCAGUCUUGAGUACAGUAGAGGUGGGCGGAAUUCGUGGUGUAGCGGUGAAAUGCUUAGAUAUCACGAAGAACUCCGAUUGCGAAGGCAGUUCACUGGACUGCAACUGACACUGAGGCUCGAAAGUGUGGGUAUCAAACAGGAUUAGAUACCCGAGUAGUC